GCUGCUCAAAUAUGCUACCUCUCCGUGGUGAGCAGCAGGCAACAGAGAGUGUCUUAUCAACCUCUGGCUAAAGCAUAU
rnacentral:ribozyme from 1 species